GUGGGGAAUAUUGGACAAUGGGCGAAAGCCUGAUCCAGCCAUGCCGCGUGUGUGAAGAAGGUCUUCGGAUUGUAAAGCACUUCAAGUUGGGAGGAAGGGCAGUAAGUUAAUACCUUGCUGUUUUGACGUUACCGACAGAAUAAGCACCGGCUAACUUCGUGCCAGCAGCAGCGGUAAUACGAAGGGUGCAAGCGUUAAUCGGAAUUACUGGGCGUAAAGCGCGCGUAGGUGGUUUUGUAAGUUGGAGGUGAAAUCCCCGGGCUCAACCUGGGAACUGCCUCAAAAACUGCAUGACUAGAGUACGGUAGAGGGUAGUGGAAUUUCCUGUGUAGCGGUGAAAUGCGUAGAUAUAGGAAGGAACACCAGUGGCGAAGGCGACUACCUGGACUGAUACUGACACUGAGGUGCGAAAGCGUGGGGAGCAAACAGGAUUAGAAACCCGAGUAGUCC
rnacentral:rRNA from 1 species